UACGUAGGGGGCUAGCGUUGUCCGGAUUUAUUGGGCGUAAGAGCGUGUAGGCGGCCAUGUAGGUCCGGUGUGAAAACUCGAGGCUUAACCUCGAGAUGUCAUCGGAAACCAUUUGGCUAGAGUCCGGAAGAGGAGAGUGGAAUUCCUGGUGUAGCGGUGAAAUGCGCAGAUAUCAGGAAGAACACCAAUGGCGAAAGCAGCUCUCUGGGACGGUACUGACGCUGAGACGCGAAAGCGUGGGGAGCGAACAGG
rnacentral:rRNA from 1 species